GCCACGUUCCACCUUGACCCCUGACCUCCAACCCUGGUUCUGUUCAAUCCACCCAGCAUGGAGGAAACCCCCACCCUGCGCCACGUGGGCCCUGUGCCAGGCGCCGGGAAACAAGGACGAUCCUUAAGCAAUCCCCGCUCUCUGGGAGCCUAUAAUUCUACCAGGGAAGCCAUGUGCAGGCAGGAGUAAGGGGGAAGGGGGGUCUGGAAAAGCUGCUGGCGGGAGGCCCCUUCGCUGAGCCCAGAGGAAGCCAGAGCACGCCGGGCAGGGGGCGCAGCCCCUGCAAAUGCCUGGACUCUGGACUUGUCCAAGUCAUUCUCAGACUUGACUGGUCAGACUUGAGCAGGUCAUUCUCCUGCUCCAAAACCUUCCAUAGCUCCCCAUUGCCUCUCAGGGCCCAAAAUACCCCACUUCCAAGAUGACGCCCUCAGCUGGGCAGGCUGGCCCUUUGCACACCUGUAUGCAUACCCCUUUGACAAGUGAGUGGAGGCUGAAGGAAUAUCUGUGGCAAGGAGGCCUUGAGGAGGCGACCAUGACACUUAAGGCAGGGGGCGAUGAAGGUCUGAAUUAGGAGAAUGGCUAGGAGUCAGCCGGGAGAAUUGCCGUGGGGGUGGGUGAGAACGAGGAGUCAAGGAUGGCCCAGAGAGUGAGACCCUGGGUGAUGGCGGAAAGGAGUCAGGGGAAGGGAUGAAUCCGAACUCAUGAAGAUGAGUUUUCCCAAUUUCAAGGUCAGCGUUCUAUCCACUGCAGCGCCACCUAGCUGCCCACCCUCAGAGACAUCCUUACAUUUGAAAUGCUCCACUUCUCCAAAGCAAAAAGUAGGUGUCUUAGCCCAGUCUCAGCAAAAGGAGUGCGGCGAGUUAGAAUGCCAAGGGAGGAAUCUUCUGGGCCAAACUCAGCUCUCUCCCCCGCCAACGUGUCAAUCCCCCUGCAGCCAAUGUCUUCUCAAAAUUAGGGACAAUUCACUCUCCCAAAGACGGAGCCAGGAUUGGGCAGCGGUCUCCAAAUUCGGGGAUCCAGGAGGGCCAGUGGGAGUGAGAUGGAGGAGCAUCAGGGCUGGUUUGGAACUUUGGGAAGGAUGGGGUUGAGAGCCGGAAUCCCUGGGGACAAGGAAGGUCACCAAGUCAUUGGGCUGGAUUGGAGGAGAGGAUGGGGAUGAUGUCAUCAGAGAUGGGGAUGAUGUCAUCUAAGGCUGGAUUGGAGGAGAGGAUGGGGAUGAUGUCAUCUGAGGCUGGAUUGGAGGAGAGGAUGGGAAUGAUGUCAUCUGAGGCUGGAUUGGAAGAGAGGAUGGGGAUGAUGUCAUCAGAGAUGGGGAUGAUGUCAUCUAAGGCUGAAUUGGAGGAGAGGAUGGCGAUGAUGUCAUCUGAGGCUGGAUUGGAGGAGAGGAUGGGAAUGAUGUCAUCUGAGGCUGGAUUGGAAGAGAGGAUGGGGAUGAUGUCAUCAGAGAUGGGGAUGAUGUCAUCUGAGGCUGGAUUGGAGGAGAGGAUGGGGAUGAUGUCAUCAGAGAUGAGGAUGAUGUCAUCUAAGGUUGGAUUGGAGGAGAGGAUAAAGAUGAUG